AUGAUGCCUCUAUUCAAACCUAUGAUUUUACCAAAGGAUAAGAAAGUGAACCACUUUUCCUUAUAUGUCUUGAAUCGGUACCGAAGUAGCGUUGACAUCCUUGACUCUUUACCUUAUCCAAAGAACCAUCAUCCUUCAAAGAACACCUAUCAUAAAGACUGCGAGAAGAUUUACAGUGCGAGCAAGCACCCCAAUUGGGAGUUUUUUGCAAAGAAACCAACGUUUGUCAAGGUUCCACUUCAAGGGCCGAAUGAAUGUGGCCAUUAUACUCUGAAGUAUGCGGGAUCCUAUGAUGGUGAAAAGAUCGUUGAGAACAUUUGA
rnacentral:rRNA from 1 species